rnacentral:rRNA from 1 species
AUUGAACGCUGGCGGCAGGCCUAACACAUGCAAGUCGAACGGUAACAGGAAACAGCUUGCUGUUUCGCUGACGAGUGGCGGACGGGUGAGUAAUGUCUGGGAAACUGCCUGAUGGAGGGGGAUAACUACUGGAAACGGUAGCUAAUACCGCAUAACGUCGCAAGACCAAAGAGGGGGACCUUCGGGCCUCUUGCCGUCGGAUGUGCCCAGAUGGGAUUAGCUAGUAGGUGGGGUAACGGCUCACCUAGGCGACGAUCCCUAGCUGGUCUGAGAGGAUGACCAGCCACACUGGAACUGAGACACGGUCCAGACUCCUACGGGAGGCAGCAGUGGGGAAUAUUGCACAAUGGGCGCAAGCCUGAUGCAGCCAUGCCGCGUGUAUGAAGAAGGCCUUCGGGUUGUAAAGUACUUUCAGCGGGGAUGAAGGGAGUAAAGUUAAUACCUUUGCUCAUUGACGUUACCCGCAGAAGAAGCACCGGCUAACUCCGUG